rnacentral:rRNA from 1 species
GUGUUGUUGGGUAGGGGAGCGUUCUGUAAGCCUGCGAAGGUGUACUGUGAGGUAUGCUGGAGGUAUCAGAAGUGCGAAUGCUGACAUAAGUAACGAUAAUGCGGGUGAAAAACCCGCACGCCGGAAGACCAAGGGUUCCUGUCCAACGUUAAUCGGGGCAGGGUGAGUCGACCCCUAAGGCGAGGCUGAAAAGCGUAGUCGAUGGGAAACGGGUUAAUAUUCCCGUACUGGUGGUAACUGCGAUGGGGGAACGGAGAAGGCUAGGUUGUCCGGGCGACGGUCGUCCCGGUUCAAGCAUGUAGGCAGAGUGAUUAGGCAAAUCCGGUCACUUAAUGCUGAGGUGUGAUGACGAACCACUAAGGUGGUGAAGCAAUUGAUGCCCUGCUUCCAGGAAAAGCCUCUAAGCUUCAGGUUACCAACAAUCGUACCCCAAACCGACACAGGUGGUCAGGUAGAGAAUACUCAGGCGCUUGAGAGAACUCGGGUGAAGGAACUAGGCAAAAUGGUGCCGUAACUUCGGGAGAAGGCACGCUGGCGGUAAGUGAAGUCCCUUGCGGACGGAGCCGAAGCCAGUCGAAGAUACCAGCUGGCUGCAACUGUUUAUUAAAAACACAGCACUGUGCAAACACGAAAGUGGACGUAUACGGUGUGACGCCUGCCCGGUGCUGGAAGGUUAAUUGAUGGGGUUAUCCUUAGGGAGAAGCUCUUGAUCGAAGCCCCAGUAAACGGCGGCCGUAACUAUAACGGUCCUAAGGUAGCGAAAUUCCUUGUCGGGUAAGUUCCGACCUGCACGAAUGGCGUAAUGAUGGCCAGGCUGUCUCCACCCGAGACUCAGUGAAAUUGAACUCGCUGUGAAGAUGCAGUGUACCCGCGGCAAGACGGAAAGACCCCGUGAACCUUUACUAUAGCUUGACACUGAACAUUGAGCCUUGAUGUGUAGGAUAGGUGGGAGACUAUGAAGUGUGGACGCCAGUCUGCAUGGAGUCAACCUUGAAAUACCACCCUUUAACGUUUGAUGUUCUAACCUAGGUCCAUAAUCUGGAUCGGGGACCGUGUCUGGUGGGUAGUUUGACUGGGGCGGUCUCCUCCUAAAGAGUAACGGAGGAGCACGAAGGUUGGCUAAGCAUGGUCGGACAUCAUGCGGUUAGUGCAAAGGCAUAAGCCAGCUUGACUGUGAGAGUGACGGCUCGAGCAGGUACGAAAGUAGGUCUUAGUGAUCCGGUGGUUCUGAAUGGAAGGGCCAUCGCUCAACGGAUAAAAGGUACUCCGGGGAUAACAGGCUGAUACCGCCCAAGAGUUCAUAUCGACGGCGGUGUUUGGCACCUCGAUGUCGGCUCAUCACAUCCUGGGGCUGAAGUAGGUCCCAAGGGUAUGGCUGUUCGCCAUUUAAAGUGGUACGCGAGCUGGGUUUAGAACGUCGUGAGACAGUUCGGUCCCUAUCUGCCGUGGGCGUUGGAAGAUUGAGAGGGGUUGCUCCUAGUACGAGAGGACCGGAGUGAACGCACCACUGGUGUUCGGGUUGUCAUGCCAAUGGCAUUGCCCGGUAGCUAAGUGCGGAAGAGAUAACCGCUGAAAGCAUCUAAGCGGGAAACUUGCCUCGAGAUGAGUCUUCCCUGUCACCUUGAGUGACCUAAAGGAACGUUUAAGACUAAGACGUUGAUAGGCUGGGUGUGUAAGCGUAGCGAUACGUUGAGCUAACCAGUACUAAUGAACCGUGAGGCUUAACCUG